rnacentral:lncRNA from 1 species
CGUUUAUAAACGAGAUUCUUAAGAGCCUAAAAUUUCACUUUUAAUUAUUUUUACUUUGAUAUAAAUCUGUUAACUCUCCGGCGGCGGAAGCAGAGAGCGGUAUUUUACAGUGGGUGGUAAAAAAAGGUCACUCAUUGUUUCACUCUGCCUCUUGUUACUGUCAACUAUUGUCACUAAUUAUUAUCUCAAUAGAAAAGCUUGUCUUUAAUAAGUAGAGGGGAAAGGAAAAUUUAGGUGGGUAUUAUAAUAACAUGAUUAAUGUCCACAAAUUUAAUGCAAAAAUAGUCUACCAAUUUCCCUAAAAUCAAAUUCUUCCUGAUGUGUAUUUGAAAGUACUUUUUAGAUUUUUGUUACAUUCACUUA